AAGAGACGAACAGUUCUUCCCCUCCAGAGGACAUUGUGUUCAAGGAGCUGUUCCAGAAGCAGAAACCCUCUCAGCCUUGAUUUUGGAUCCAGCUCAGGACCGUUGUGCUUAAGAUUCAUUGUUAUUGUGGCUUAUCAUCACAUCUGUUUCUAACCUCAUUAGGGCCAUCAUUCUUGGAAAGUCAUCCAGUUCAUCAAUAUCCUUUAACACUGUUUGGAUUUGUGGGUGUUCAUUCAAGCAGGAAGGGAGGCCUAUGGAGGUGUGUUGAGGAGAAGGCCACAAAGCGUUAUUUUCAUCACCUGAUAUGGGCCAUUCAUGUGGGAAAACACAUCAAGAUCCAUCAUGGCAGCAGGGGAACACAGCAGAGAUGAGCAAAGCUGGGCAGCAGCCUGACUGGGCUUGGCAUGGAGCCAGAAGUACCUCUUCAACAUGGGAAAGGUAGCUGAAAAUGCUACACUUCUUUCUGGCCUCUGCUUUCAGGUAAGAAAUCUUCCAUCAUUCAAAUUGGUGUUUCCCUAUAUGUAUUGCAUCACAUUUCUGACUGCUGUAAAAAAUUUUUGUGUGUCUUUAGUUUUCAGAAUUGUAAUUAUGAUACUUAGGUUUAUUCUAUUUGGUGUUCACUAAGCAUCUUGAAUCUAUAGAUUUGCAUCUUUCAUUAUGUUUGAGAAAUUCAGUAAUCAUUUCCUCCAACACAUUUAGUCACUUUCUCCUCCACUACAACUAAGAUAUGAAUAUCAUCUUUGUUAUUGUACCACAGGUACCUCAUACUGUUAAUUCUUUUACAGUUUACUAUUUCUCUGUUCAGAUUUUGUAAAAUAUAUUGCUCUGUCCUCAAGCUGAUUUUAUCCUGUCAUACCACUUUACAAUUGAAUGUAUCCAGUUCUUUUGUAUCUUAAAUAUAUCCAAAGUUUUUGUUUGUUGUUUUUUAAAUUUCGGUUACUGGCUGCAUUUUUAAAAUUGUAGGUUCAGGAGAUACAUGUGCAGGUUUGUUACAUGAGUGUAUCAUGUAAUGGUGGGGUUUGGACUUCUUGUGAAUCCAUCACUCCAGUAAUGAACAUAAUACCUGUGGCAGACUGCCACUGCUACUGCUUGAGACCAUCACUACAGCAGUUACUACUGUUAUCACUUGAGACCUUCAUUACAACUGAAGAAAGGGAUGAAUGUAGAAAUAAUAAAAAGCAAAAGAAACUGUUUUAAGGAAAGGCUAGCAUGGGGAAGAAGAGAGAGGAAAAGAAGAAAAGAGCUCCCUGCUUCUAGUGAGCAAAGGCAGCCGCCCUGAGCUUCCACAGCCCUUCUUAUUUAUUGGGUAACAAGAGCAAGGAGGAGGAGGUAAUGAUUGGUCAGCUGCUUAAUUGACCACAGGUUCAUAUUAUUACUAACAGGCUUCAGCUGUACCUAAUCACAAGAAACAUUUGUGCGGCCUCCCCUUUUCAAAUUAAUUGAGCAAGGCAAUUGCAGGCUGUGCAGCCCUUAACUGCCAGUUGGUGAUCCAGCUUCAUUUUUCUUAACCCUUAUUCAAAACAGAGUUGCUCUGGUUUGAAUGCUUCUUACAUAUUUUCCCCUUCCCUUUUACAAGAGGACCCUUAAUCCUAAGGGUUGCAGAAGGAUGAAGGUCCGUCUUCUGCAACUUCUUCAUGCUGAGUAAGGGCAAUGAUAUUCCUGCCUAGUAGGGUCUCUUGUAUUCAGGGUAGAGAGGAGCUCAGUCAGAAAGCAUUGGUUCGUUAAACAUCGAUUGUGCCUCUGAGUUCCAGCAAAAGGUGAAACUCUGGCGCUCCAUCAGUUUCUCAGCUUCCUGUGUGGUUUUCUUGAUCUGUCCCCGUAUUAUGGGGGUUGAUGUCAGCAUGAUUUCCGUCGGUCCGCGUUCUGUCUUCUCAUUCGGAUUCAACUGGCUCAUGGCUCAUACUAGGGGAACCAGGCCUGUAAUUGGAAUCCAUGGGUCCCACCAGUCUCCCAUUCCAUGGUUGCACACUUCUUGAGGGCACCUGCAUGGCUUGUCCAUCUUCUGUAAAGACACAAGCAUACCCUCGUCCCCACGUUAGUAAACCUACUGAAACAGAAGCAAAAACCUUUUGUGGCUGUAGCCAGAAGGCAUGCCGUUGCUGAGCAUUUGUUAGCUCAGCUUCUGCUUCUUUGGUUAAUUACCGUGGGGUAAAACUUUCCAGUGACAAUGAGAGACAGGCUGUUUCUCAUUAACAGAAGACAGAAAGCAAAUCGAGGCUUAUCCUUUUCAUACAACAGUAUAGCAAAAAGCAAUCCUUAAACUUUCAAUUUGCACUGUACAGGUGGGUCCACUAGAUGCUAUGGGUUGUGAAAGAUAAAUCUCUCUCCUAGUUGCACUUCCAAAUUCCUGACCUCCUUGCUUCUUCUUACGUAGAGAAGGGUACAAUUUACAGGGAAUAAGCAACAGUUGAGCAACAUAUUCUCCCGGUUCACAAACCCAAAGAUUUUGUGACAUUACCACUACCUGAAUUUCUCCUUCACAAUCAAAGUCAACAACUCCUGGGCCUGUAAGUUAAGACAGCUUUUACCAAAAUCAAUCCCAUGUAUCUUGUUCGCAAAUGUCGUCAAAUACCAAUGGGAAUCUUAGUAAGUUUGUUUCUUUCCAUUAACAUAAUUUGUUAUCUAGGAGAUCUAAUCCUGCAUUUCCAGGUGUUCCUGGAGAGAGGCAAUCCAUGUGCCUCCGGAAACCCACCCCUGAGAUGGAGUUGUGGCCUGGACGGGAAAUGCCCUCAUAGUUUGAGGUGCCCAGGUCCAGGCCCCCUUCUUGCUUCCCGACAGGAGAGUGCUGUUUUGAUGAAAUAUUGAGUGGCAUUCAUUAGUCCGAUGAUUUCCUUUAUUGCAACGAGGGCAAAGUCCUGGCCUUUUUUUCUAUUAAGAGGGGAACUGUGUUACAAGAUCCCUUUUGCCAAGAGGUCUGCUGCCAUUCUUUUUUGAAACGUCCAAUUUGUCUACACUUAUAACACUUUCCCACUUUAGGGCUUGACCCUUGGCUUCCUUUAGAUCUAUCAGCUACCCAAUUAGCCAUUGCCUGAGUCAAUACUGCAGAGCAAUGAAGCUCAGCUUCCAUAUCCUGACAAGCUCUGAGAAAACCUCCCAAGUCCUCUGCACAUCUCACAGGUGCCAGUGCACGUUUACAAUCCACGAAAGCCAAAGCUAAAGUUAGCCUUUCUGUAGCCACAAAAGACAGUACAAGCCAAUUUUCAUCCUCCCUCUUCUGUUCACCACUUUCAAUAGGUGCUGUAGGUGGGGCAAAAAAUGUUCUAAAACCCUGAAAUAAAAGAUGGUAUGUACCAAACUCCAAACAAAAAAGAGAAAAGAAAUAGCCAAAUUCUUCCUCCUGUUACCCUAAUUCAAAAGCUUCCCAUUCUUUGUACAUCUAGGGCACUGACCAGUACAUUUUUAGACCAGUACAUGCUGCCUGAAGACUUGUAACAGGGUUGGUCAUUCAUCUAGUUGGUUUUAGGUUUUUUUUUUUCUUCCUGUUCUAGCAUACCUUCCAUGCAAAUCUCUGCUAGUCUUUGCUAGUCUACAUUUUUUUACCUCUUUAGGGCACUGACCUUAUAUUGCUAGUUUGAUAGUCUUUAUCCCUAGCUGACCCUGUCUGUCCCUGUGGUCCGUUAGUUCCUUCAAGUCCCUGUCUUUCCCUACCUACCUCUACCUUCUUACUUCUACAUCCCUCCCUCUAUCUCCCUCCCUCCCUCCCUCUAUCUCCAUCCCUCCCUCCCUCUACCUCCCUCCCUCCCUCCCUCCACCUCCCUCCAACUCCCUCCCUCCCUCUACCUCCCUUCUUCCCUCUACCUACCUCCCUCCACCUACCUACCUCCCUCCCUCUACUUACUUCCCUCCCUCCUUCCCUCUACCUCCCUCCCUCCUUCCCUCUAUCUCCCUCCAUCCUUCCCUCUACCUCCCUCCUUCCUUCCCUCCUUCCCUCUAUCUCCUUCCCUCCUUCCCUCUACCUCCCUCCCUCUCUUCCUGCCUCCUUCCAUCUAUUCCUCCCUCCUUCUGUCUAUUCCUCCCUCCUUCCCUCUCUUCCUCCCUCCUUCCCUCUCUUCCUCCCUCCUUCCCUCUCUUCCUCCCUCCUUCCCUCUCUUCCUCCCUCCCUCUCUUCCUCCCUCCCUCUCUUCCUCCCUCCCUCUCUCCCUCUCCCUCCCUCUCCCUCCCCCUCCCUCCAUCUUCCUCUCUCUCCCUCCCUCUCUCUCCUUCCCUCUCCCUCCCUCUCCUUCCCUUCCCUCCCCUUCCCUCCCCCUCCACCUCACUCCCUCCACUUCCACCUCCCUCCCUCCACCUCCACCUCCCUCCCUCCACCUCCACCUCCCUCCCUCUACCUAUUUAUCUCUAUUUAUCUCUAUUUGUCCCUGCAGGACUCUUCAGGUCCCUUCAGGUCUCUGUUUGUCCCUGAUAGUUCCUGUGCAGGUUCCACUUGUGGCCGACUGCCACUACUACUACUUGAGUAACAGCAGUUACUGUUACUGCCUGAGACCAUCACUACAGCAGUUACUACUGUUACCACUUGAGACCGUCAUUACAACCGAACGAAGGGACGAAUGUAGAAAUGAUAACAAAAAACAUAAGUAACUAUUUUAAGGAAAGGCUAAGCAUGAGGAAGAAGAAGAGAGAAGAAAAGGGCUCCCUGUUUCUAGUGAGCAAAGACAGCUGCCCUGAGCUUCCACAGCCCUUUUUAUUUAUUGGGUAACAAGAACAAGGAGGAGGAGAUAUGAUUAGUCAGCUGCUUAAUUGACCACAGGUUCAUAUUAUUACUAACAGGUUUUAGAGGUACCUAAUCACAAGAAACAUUUGUGCGGCCUCCAACAAAUACCCAGUAUGUAAUUUUAAAACCCUUGCUCUCCCACUUCUCUCCCUGUUUUUGCAGUCCCCAGUGUCUAUUGUUUCUAUCUUUACGUCCAUGUGUACCAUCGUUUAGCUGGCAUGUGUAAGUAAGAACAUGUGGUAGUUUAUUUUCUGUUUCCAUUUUAUUUCACUUAGGAUAAUGGCCUCCAGCUGCAUCCAUGUUACCACAUUUUCUGUAUCCAAUCCACCACUUAUAGGCACCUAGGUAAACUUCAUGACUUUGCUGUUUUGAAUAGUGCUAUAAUAAACCUACGAGUGCAGGUUUCUUUAGGAUAAAAUUAUUUUUUUCCCUUUGGGUAGAUAUCCAGUAUUGGAGUUGCUGGCUCAAAUGGUAGUUUUAUUUUUAGUUCCUUGGGAAAUCUCCAUAUCGUUUUCCAUAGGGGUUGAACUAAUUUACAUUCUCACCAACAGUGUAUAAACAUUCCCUUUUCAAUACAACCUCACCAACAUCUGUUAUUUUUUUACUUUUUAAUAAUAGCCACUUGACUGGCUAUUAAUAAUAGCCACUUGACUGGCUAUUAAUAUAGCCAUUUGAUGGAAUCUCAUUGUGGUUUUGAUUUACAUCUCUCUGAUGAUCAGUGAUGUUGAACAUUUUUUCAUAUUUUUAUUGGCUGCUUGUAUGUCUUUUGAAAAAUAUUUGUUCCUGGUCUUUGCUCACUUUUUAAUGAAGUUAAUUUUUUUUUGCUUAUUGAUAAAUUUAAGUUCCUUAUAGAUUCUGAAAAUUAGUCUACUGUCAGAGGCAUAGUUUGCAAAUGUUUUCCCCCAUGCUAUAGGUUGUCUGUUUACUCUGUUAUUUCUUUUGUGGUGCAGAAGAUCUUUAGUUUUAUUAAGUCUCAUUUGUCAACUUUUAUUUUUGUUGCAUUUUCCUUUGAGGUCCUGGUUAUAAAUUAUCUGCCUCAAACAAUGUCUUGAAGACUUUUCCUAGGUUUUCUUCUAGAAUUUUUACAGUUUCAGGACUUACACUGAAGUCUUUAAUCUAUCUUGAGAUAAUUUUUCUAUAUGGUGAUAGGUAGGGGUCCAGUUUCAUUCUUCUGCAUAUGGCUAGACAGCUUUCCCCACACCAUUUAUUGAAUAGGGAGUACUUUUCCCAUUGCUUAUUUUUGUAAACUUUGUUGAAGAUUAGUUGGUUGUAGGCAUGUGGCUUUAUUUCUGGAUGCUCUGUUUUGUUUCAUUGAUCUAUGUGUCCGUUUUUGUAGAAGUACCAUGCUGAUUUGGUUACUGUAGCCUUAUUAUAUAGUUUGAAGUAAGGUAAUAUGAUGCCCCUAGCUUUGUUCUUUUUGCUUUAGAUUGCUUUGGCUUUUUGGGCUAUUUUUGGUUCCAUGUGAAAAUUAUGAUAGUUUUUUUUUUCACUCUGUGAAAAAUGACAUUGGGAGUUUGAUAGGAAUUGCAUUGAACCUGUAGAAUGCUUUGAGAAGUAUGAUCAUUUUAGUGAUAUUGAUUCUUCUAAUCCAUGAGCAUGGGAAGUUUUUCUAUUUGCUGUGUCAUCUAUAAUUUCUUUCAGCAGUGUUUUGUAGUUCUUUUGUAGAAAUCUUUCACCUUUUCAGUUAUAUUUUAUUUGUGUGUGUGUGUAUAUGUGUGGCUAUUGUAAAUGGGAUUGAAUUCUUGAUUUGGUUUCCAGCUUGAACAUUAUUGGUGUAUAGAAAUGCUACUGAUUUGUGUACAUUGACUUUGUAUUCUAAAACUUUACUGCUGUUGUUCAUCAGGUCUAGCAGUGUCUUUGAGGAAUCACUAGGGUGUUUUAAUUAUAAGAUCUUAUCAGCCAAUGGAGAUAGUUAGACUUACUCUUUUCCUUUCUGAAUGUACUUAUUUCUUUCUCAUGACUAUUCUGGCUAGGACUUCCAGUACAAUAUUGAAUAGAAGUAGUGAAACUGUACAUCCUUGUCUUUUUCCAGUACUUAGGGGGAAUCGUUUCAACUUUGUGCAUUCUGUAUGAUGUAGGCAGUGGGUUUGUCAUAGAUGGAUUAUAUUAUUUUUAGGUAUGUUCUUUUGAUGCCUAGUUUACUGAGGGUUUUUAAUCAUGAAAGAAUGUUAGAUUUUAUAAAAUGCUUUCUCUGUGCCUAGUGAGAUGAUAUAUUUUUUUUGUUUUUAAUUCUGUUCAUGUGGUGAAUCACAUUUAUUGAUUUGCUUAUGUUGAACAAUUCUUGCAUCCAG
rnacentral:lncRNA from 1 species